GUGAAUCAUCAAAUCUUUGAACGCAAAUUGCACUCUCUUCGGAGAGUAUGCCUGUUUGAGGGUCAGCCUAGAAAAAAUCGACGUAGUCGCUGUUUCGCGGUGACAUUCGUCGGAAAUUGGGCCAUCUUAAACCUUUGGGUUUUUUAAGCGGCUUAAAAUUUUCUUUAGGAUUCCAGAAAGUUUUCUAAGAUUUUAUUUCUUAACACGGUUUAAGGUAUGGAUCUUUAUUAGACGG
rnacentral:misc_RNA from 1 species